rnacentral:piRNA from 2 species
UAGGUGCUGCCUCUUGUGAAAGCCACC